UAGGAAAAAAAAAUGUAGUUGAAUUGUCCGAAGCGGGGGAGCGGCGGCGUCCGGCAGCGCGAUGCCUCUUCCCCACGGGGCUCGCCCGGGGCCGCUCGCACCGCGCAGUCGGGGCUCGGUCCCGGGGAGCCGGGGCAGUGCGGGGACGGGGCGAGCAGAGCCCCGGCGGUGAGGUGGGGACGUGGGACGGCCUCCUCCUCACUUCUUCUAUCCCAAAGCUGCGUGGGCCGUCUGCGGAGCGCGUCGGGCCUCUGCCGGUUGUCGUUCUCAUCAGUUCCGCGCGUACCCUCGGCGUUCGCUUGUUUGUUCGGGGUGGGGGUUUUGGGAGCCCCGCGGUCGGGGACUUCGGCGGUGCCACAGUCCAAACGGUCCCGGCGGUGCCCCCCGGCCGCCCCUCUCCCCGCCCCGCCGCCCAGCUCCGUGGCUCAGGGCAGAACCCGCACACACCCCUCCCGUGCCCUCCGUUCGGCUGCGAACUUUCCGCCGGGGUGAGUUCUCCUUUAAGAAAAGGCACGGCUCCUUCUGCAUAUUGAACGCUGUUCGUCUGCAGCGCGCAGAUGACGCGGGGCCGGAGCGGGACGGCUGGGGCGUAAAUCACCGCUCUCUGCAAUGGCCCCAGCGGGGAACCCCGUGCCAUCGCCCCAUAUGCCGCUUUAAACACGCUUUCCAAGAAAGGGGAGAGAGGAGGCUGCGGGUGGGGAGGGGGACGCUCGGGUGUGCCCCCCCUCACCCCCCUUCCCCCCCUCCCCCCCCCGGCACCACGAGGCUUGGGAGAGCGGCACAGCCCUGUCCCGGUGCCCACGUCGAGGUGCGCAGAGGUGCGAAAGGGGAACUUCGGUGCCAAAGCGCCGCCCGGAGCAGGGGAUGCGAGGUCCCGGAGGAGAUUUCCCUCCGGAGUUUGCGUUGUGCAGAGCGACAAGGAAGCAUCUGGGGGCAGCGAGGCUGAUGUGUGUCCCGCGGAGGGGCCGCACCCCUGCCCGGGGCUGCUGGAGGGGGGAGAGAGAGAAGAAAAGCCCCGCAGGGAGCAGCAGCGUUUGGCUCUGAGAGUGGGGCGAAGUCUUGGAAAACCCCGGGGGGGGGGGGCCGAGCACCGCUUGCCCGAACCCCAGGGGGGAGCCCGCGGUCGGGGUGCCACUCCUCGGCCUUUGCCUUAGGAGUGACUGCCCCCAAAGUGAGGGACGUGAGGAGGGGCGAAGGAUGGAGAGCGGCCGCUCCCCGCCACCCACGCCACGAGGGGUCCCCAAAGGCUGAGCUGCCUAAAGCACAGCGCUGCCCCCCACCCCUACCCCACCAUUCAGUAUGAUUCUUCUUAUCUUUCUUUCCUCUCAUGUGAGUCUGCCAAAUGGCAACUGAGGAACUGGAGUCUGUCCCGUCCUCUCUGGAAAUUGGGUUCUUGGCGAUUAUUUUUUUUUUUUUCACUUUUACUUUUCUCUUCUCCCACUCCGACUCUUAAUGAUUCGCCCUCCUCUGUGUUUUGCUGUCGUUGGUUUUGUUUUCUCAUCUCAUUCACUCCGCUCAGCCUCUGCUGAAGACACCGAAUCGCCCUCGCCCUGCGCCUGCGGACAGACCUCGGUGGAGAGCGGCGGCAGAACCCAACCGCGCAAUUUCUACCUGCAAGGCAGCAGAGUGUACAGCCCCCCACUCCCACCCCGCAUCGAACGCAGCCAUAACUCAAUGCAAACUGCGGGGAGAGGCGUUUUCCACGUGGCAGCAGAUGAUGGAGGAGAUGUCCCACUCCUCUCCGCUGCUCGUACCGCGUGGGGUCGUUCCCUCCGGCUGCGGCGGUGCCGUCCUUCUCGCAGAGGUGCAGGAAACAGAUUCCCACCUUUGGUCUCCCACCGAAGCGAAUUGCUUUUUGGCUCAGCGCUCAUCCUAACCAACUUUCUCCCCCGUGUUUAUUUCACUGGUUGCGGCCGGCAAAGAAAAUCAAAUAAAAUAACGCUGAAACGUGAAAAAAAAAAAAAAAAAAAGAAAAAAA
rnacentral:lncRNA from 1 species